AUUUCAAUUUUCUACUCAUUUCCAAUUUCUUCUCUCUCACUUUCUUUUUCCUCACGCUCUCUCUCUCAAAAUUUCCCCAACAACCUUCUUUCUCUCUUUUCUCUCUACAACAUCCUCUCUUAUCUCUCUACAGCAACCUUCUUUCUCUCUUUUUUCUCUUUCUGCUUCUAUCUUGCUUCCAUAUCCCUCUUCCUUUUGCUAUUCUUCUUCUCCCUUCUUUCUCUUUUGUUAUCUGAAACAAUAAUGGUGUCUGAAUCGGUUUACGGAUAUAAACUGGAUCGAGUUUUACCGCUGAGUUAUGAAGCUAACUAGGUCUGAAUAAACACCAGUUCAAACGUAACAACUGUUAUCGCCUUUGUGAAGUUAGCGCUGACCAAUUUCUUGCAGAAAUUGAAGAGAAGCUGAGGAGUUUGUUUCCAACAAGUGGGCUUUUUCCAGUUUUUGAGAGGCUGUUGCCAGAAGCAAUAGGUCACCUGAAAAACUGCUUAUUCUUCUCGACAUGUACGAGAUAAUGAGAAAGG